rfam:Ornithorhynchus anatinus chromosome X1, whole genome shotgun sequence.
AGUAGUGUAGCUUAGUGGAAAGAGCACGAAUUUGGGAAUCAGAGGACGUGGGUUCUAAUCCCAGCUCUGCCA